UGGUGGAGUGAUUUGUCUGCUUAAUUGCGAUAACGAACGAGACCUCGGCCCUUAAAUAGCCCGGCCCGCGUUUGCGGGCCGCUGGCUUCUUAGGGGGACUAUCGGCUCAAGCCGAUGGAAGUGCGCAGCAAUAACA
rnacentral:rRNA from 1 species